rnacentral:miRNA from 1 species
UGAGGCAGGAGAAUUGCUUGAACCCAGGAGGUGGAAGUUGCAGUGAGCUGAGAUCACGCCACUGCACUCCAGCCUGGGUAACACAGCGAGACUCCAUCUCA